rnacentral:rRNA from 1 species
ACUCCUACGGGAGGCAGCAGUGAGGAAUAUUGGUCAAUGGAGGGAACUCUGAACCAGCCAUCCCCGCGUGUAGGAAGACGGCCUUAUGGGUUGUAAACUACUUUUAUACAGGAAGAAACGUACCCUCGUGAGGGUGCCUGACGGUACUGUAGGAAUAAGCACCGGCUAACUCCGUGCCAGCAGCCGCGGUAAUACGGAGGGUGCGAGCGUUAUCCGGAUUUAUUGGGUUUAAAGGGUCCGUAGGCGGAUUAAUAAGUCAGUGGUGAAAUCCCAUCGCUUAACGAUGGAACUGCCAUUGAUACUGUUAGUCUUGAAUGAGGGUGCAGUGGUUGGAAUGUGUAGUGUAGCGGUGAAAUGCAUAGAUAUUACACAGAACACCGAUUGCGAAGGCAGAUCACUAACCCUAAAUUGACGCUGAGGGACGAAAGCGUGGGGAGCGAACAGGAUUAGAUACCCUGGUAGCACAGAG